rnacentral:rRNA from 1 species
AGUGAACGCUGGCGGUAGGCCUAACACAUGCCAGUCGAACGGCAGCACAGUAAGAGCUUGCUCUUACGGGUGGCGAGUGGCGGACGGGUGAGGAAUACAUCGGAAUCUACUUUUUCGUGGGGGAUAACGUAGGGAAACUUACGCUAAUACCGCAUACGACCUACGGGUGAAAGCAGGGGAUCUUCGGACCUUGCGCGAUUGAAUGAGCCGAUGUCGGAUUCGCUAGUUGGCGGGGUAAAGGCCCACCAAGGCGACGAUCCGUAGCUGGUCUGAGAGGAUGAUCAGCCACACUGGAACUGAGACACGGUCCAGACUCCUACGGGAGGCAGCAGUGGGGAAUAUUGGACAAUGGGCGCAAGCCUGAUCCAGCCAUACCGCGUGGGUGAAGAAGGCCUUCGGGUUGUAAAGCCCUUUUGUUGGGAAAGAAAAGCAGCAGGUUAAUACCCCGCUGUUCUGACGGUACCCAAAGAAUAAGCGCCGGCUAACUUCGUG